ACAGACCGGGCAGAAAUGCAACGGCGCAAUCGUAAUGGCUGCGGGUGCGUGCUGGGUUGACUCCGGACCGCCCGCCGAUGAGCUGGGGAGUUUAGGGCGCGCCUCACAGGUGGCGACAGACAGAAAUGCAGUUAUUCCGCAAAAUUUCGGUAGAAACUACAAGGUGUCAACUGUCAACCACAGAACAGUAAGGGUUAAGAAGUGAUAAUCACAAAUCACACACUAUAGAUUGGAAACUUAAAUGAGAUGACCUUGAAUACAAUUUAGCUGUGAUUCAAACCAGUUGUAAUUUCAGCAAACAUGCGUUGGAAGGCGCUAAUUGUGGCCAACUGAACGUAACCGAUAACUACAAUUUCUGUUAGUUCGGUUGAACUAUGUUGCAGCCGCAAGGUUUAAGGGUGGUUAGGGUCUUUUUUGGUCUUUUUCGUUGUGACUCCUGAAGAGGCCACACGUGCGUUUCGAGGUUAGCUUAGCUUUUCCACGUUUUUCUAAAUUAUAAAAUUAAGUCAUAUUAUAAGUAAGUUCGCGCAUUUACGUGUAUAAAAUAAUUCGUGGUCGCGCUUUUGUUGCUACUGCAGUAAUUGAUGGAGCCUUCUUCUUCAAAAGUGUAUAAAAUUAAGUGCUGUGUACCAGGUUGUAAUGAUACAACCAGUAAGCGACAUCGUUUUCCUAAAGACGUCGAUUUGUGCAAUUCUUGGGUACAAAAUAUUGGUUGUCCGAAACUAUCCACUUUAUCAACAGCAGAGCUUUACAACAAGUUUGUGUGUGAUAUACAUUUUGAAGAGUAUUACCGGGUACCUGGUACGAAGAGGGGGCUACGGAAGGACGCCAUUCCAAGCCUGCAAUUAUCUAAUGUUUGAAAACUAUAAAAACGCCAACGUCGCAUUUUCUCUCAUAAUUAGGGCUGGGCAAGGAGGUGGAGGUGAGCUUGUCAGCUGUUAUGGUAGAGCCUUUGCCUGGGACUUCAAAAGAUCUAGAUUCUACACAAGUUGUUCUGCAAGAUGUCCAAUCGUCCACGUCAGGUACAUCUCCAGCCACAAGAGAAGAAGUUUUUACUCCUCCUAAUCUUCCAACGAAAUCUUCAGAUGGUAGAAAGCGGCAUGGGAUAUUACAAGCUGUAGGUGCAAGGCGAGCCAAGGAUUUAACUCCAAGGUGCAAAAAGUUUUAUGCGCUCGUUGGCAAGUGGGCUCGGCAAACUGCUGUAAAACAACACAGGAUACGCAACUUAACGAACCGAUUGCGAGAAGCGGAAAAAGUUGAAAAAAACUAUGGCCAAUGUGAAGAAUGUGUCAAGAUGCUGACACAUUCUGAUGGUGACAUUCCGAUGGCAGUAAUUGAAGCCAGACAGUACCGCCUGUCAACUUUCACAAAGCCUGGAAGCUAUUUGUAUUUCGUCACAUCAGAAUGUGUCAGUAGAUUGUUAUUUUAUAUUCCUAGAAUAUGCUAUAAACAGUUCAUUUCUGUCCUUUUACGGGAACUUCUAAAUAGUGAACUUGACUUUAAUGUUUUAAAUUGUAACAUACAUCCUACUUUGGGCAAUAGUGUUGUUGAAUUUCAAAUUAGAGUUAUGUUAUUUUAUUGGGCGAAACAAAUAAAUUUGAUUUUAAAAGGGAACAGAAACGAAUUUUUAAAAAAUAAAACUUCACGUGCGACGGACCCUAUCAAAGUUCAUGCCCACAAUAUGUACCUUAAAAGAAAAAAACGGAAUAUUUAACUUAUUGUUUUAUCAUGUAAGUUUUAUUGAUUUAAUAAUACAUACAUAUUCAGAAGUGUCUUUUUUUUCCACAAUUUCUAACCUUGCAGGUGCAGUGCAAAAGGCUUUUUGAAGUUAAUGGAAUGAAUAUUUUUAAAGCAAUUGCUACAAAACAUUUGUUUUAAUAUAUUCAUUCUGUUUUCUUCUACUAGCCUUUUCACUUGCAUUUAAAGUUUUUAGACAAUGAAUAAAGUUUAUUUAUUAAAGUUCGCGCCCUUCACCCUAUAGUACUGCAAACAAACGUUGUAGGGCGCUGACAUUCAGUUUCGUUCAAAUGCAUUACAGUUAGCCAUCUAUAGUGUGUGAUUUGUGGUGAUAAUUCCCUAGUAAAUCACUGGCAACACGAGAAUCCAGCGCCUCUGGUGCUGAAGUGCGUUACUACCACGGCAUUCCUCCACAAUUCUUGAAGCUUUGGAUUCUUAGGGAAGGUGAAGAAAUGCUUAUUGGACUGUCCUUUGUUGGGAACAUAACCACUGGUGCAUCCGGGGUAUUUGCAGGAAUAUUUGCGAUAACCAGCCAUGACUAAAGUUCGCUUGAGUAGUAGAAAUCAAAAAUCCGUCACUCCAGCCCAGAGACCAAUGCCUUUAAAAUAGAAAGAAACACCAAUCAAAAAGAUGAGGUUAUAUUAACAAAAGAAGAGAUACUUAUCUUUUUGGUCGGCGCUCAACACCAGGAAUUGACUCACUAACGAACUGUAAUCAGAAUUUUUGCUUUGAUUAAACGAUUAAACAAAUAA